rnacentral:rRNA from 1 species
GAUGAACGCUGGCGGCGUGCCUAAUACAUGCAAGUCGAGCGAAUGGAUUAAGAGCUUGCUCUUAUGAAGUUAGCGGCGGACGGGUGAGUAACACGUGGGUAACCUGCCCAUAAGACUGGGAUAACUCCGGGAAACCGGGGCUAAUACCGGAUAACAUUUUGAACCGCAUGGUUCGAAAUUGAAAGGCGGCUUCGGCUGUCACUUAUGGAUGGACCCGCGUCGCAUUAGCUAGUUGGUGAGGUAACGGCUCACCAAGGCAACGAUGCGUAGCCGAACGGAGAGGGUGGUCGGCCACACCGGGACUGAGAAACGGCCCAGACUCGUACGGGAGGCAGCAGUAGGGAAUCUUCCGCAAUGGACGAAAGUCUGACGGAGCAACGCCGCGUGAGUGAUGAAGGCUUUCGGGUCGUAAAACUCUGUUGUUAGGGAAGAACAAGUGCUCGUUGAAUAAGCUGGCACCUUGACGGUACCUAACCAGAAAGCCACGGCUAACUACGUGCCAGCAGCCGCCGUAA